UCCAGACUCCUACGGGAGGCAGCAGUGGGGAAUAUUGCACAAUGGGGGGAACCCUGAUGCAGCGACGCCGCGUGAAGGAAGAAGUAUCUCGGUAUGUAAACUUCUAUCAGCAGGGAAGAAAGAGGACGGUACCUGACUAAGAAGCCCCGGCUAACUACGUGCCAGCAGCCGCGGUAAUACGUAGGGGGCAAGCGUUAUCCGGAUUUACUGGGUGUAAAGGGAGCGUAGACGGCAGCGCAAGUCUGAAGUGAAAUGCCGGGGCUUAACCCCGGAACUGCUUUGGAAACUGUGCAGCUAGAGUGCAGGAGAGGUAAGUGGAAUUCCUAGUGUAGCGGUGAAAUGCGUAGAUAUUAGGAGGAACACCAGUGGCGAAGGCGGCUUGCUGGGCUUUUACUGACGCUGAGGCUCGAAAGCGUGGGGAGCAAACAGGAUUAGAUACCCUAGUAGAA
rnacentral:rRNA from 1 species